UACAGAGGCCCCAAGCGUUACUGAGAAUCACUGGGUUUAAAGGGUGCGUAGGUGGCGCGUUAAGUCCGUUGUGAAAUCCCUUGGCUCAACCAAGGAACUGCUUCGGAUACUGGCGUGCUUGAGGCUAGUAGAGGUCACUGGAACUGACGGUGGAGCGGUGAAAUGCGUAGAUAUCGUCAGGAACGCCAAUGGUGAAGACGAGGUGACUGGGCUAGUUCUGACACUGAGGCACGAAAGCGUGGGGAGCGAACGGG
rnacentral:rRNA from 1 species